CAGCCGCCACGGUAACACCGAGGGUGCAAGCGUUAAUCGGAAUUACUGGGCGUAAAGCGCGCGUAGGUGGUUUGUUAAGUUGGAUGUGAAAGCCCCGGGCUCAACCUGGGAACUGCAUCCAAAACUGGCAAGCUAGAGUACGGUAGAGGGUGGUGGAAUUUCCUGUGUAGCGGUGAAAUGCGUAGAUAUAGGAAGGAACACCAGUGGCGAAGGCGACCACCUGGACUGAUACUGACACUGAGGUGCGAAAGCGUGGGGAGCAAACAGGAUUAGAUACCCCCGUAGUCCCUGUCUCUUAUAC
rnacentral:rRNA from 1 species